rnacentral:lncRNA from 1 species
GGUUUAAAAUUGAUGUUUUAAGUUUAGAUUUAGGGUUUAGGGUUUACGUUUAGGGUUUAGAGUUUAUGUUUUAGGGUUUAGAUUUGAAGUUUUAGGAUUUAGGGUUUAGAGUUGAUGUUUCAGGGUUUAGAGUUUAGAGUUGAUGUUUCAUAGUUUAGGGUUUAGAGUUGAUGAUUUAAGGUUUAGAGUUGAUGUUUUAAGUUUAGAUUAGUUAACCAUAUUUUUUUUUUUGUUAAAGAUAAUCAAAAGGUUAUAAAUGUCUUUUACUCUUCAUUAAAGAUAAGAGGUAAAAGUGGUUAGUGUAAACAUGAAAAGUGGUACUUUGAAAAUGGUAUUUUUGGCAAUUUCCC